rnacentral:lncRNA from 1 species
GAACAAUCGACUGGAAAAUGCCUGGGUGCUUUUCAAGACUGGCGGAGAGAGUGCGUGGACGUCGGCGGCCUACUGCGUCGACAGGUUGUUCAAAUUCAUUUGUGGCUUGUUUUUCUUGUUUUUCAGUUGAUUCCGAUUAGGUUCAGCCCCCAGUACUGGGGGCCUGUUGUGAUCAGGAACAAUGCCGGUCCGGUGGUUAAAGCUUGGAGAACUUUCCAGUUCAUCGGCCCCAUCAUCACCUACAUGCGUGGGGGAUCCCAGCAGGUGGUGGUGAGGAUGCACCACGUGAGUAGGGUGAGAGGCCUGGAGACUCAACUGGUGUGGGCCAUCUCCAAGGAGACAGCCAGGCUUAGUCCUGAGGGCAUCCCCUACUGUGCCACCAAAGUGCAGUCCAUCACUUGGAUCCAGGUAAGACGUAAAUACUACUGAAACAGUAGUAGGUUAGGCUUUUCUUCACUUAUUCCAUUUGGCCUUAAUAUGUAUUCUCUCUUUGU